rnacentral:lncRNA from 1 species
AUAAAAAUAAGCUAAAAAUAUUGAUAGGUCAUAGACCUCCUUUUCGAGACAUUUGAGAUUUAAAAUAUGGCGGAAAAAGGCUGACUCAGACUUUUACCUUAUAUUUGCAUUGGUAUUAUUGGGUCUCAAAACAAAAGAAAGAAAAUCAAGAAUCUUCUAAAAUUUUGGUAAAUGACCUUUCAUGAGCUAUUAGGUCUUAUAUGAAAAAAUAAAUGGGUGUUAUGGGGC